UACGGGGGGAGCAAGCGUUGUUCGGAUUUACUGGGCGUAAAGCGCACGUAGGCGGAUCGUUAAGUCGGGGGGUGAAAUCCUGGAGCUCAACUCCAGAACUGCCUUCGAUACUGCGGGUCUCGAGUCCGGGAGAGGUGAGUGGAAUCCUAGUGUAGAGGUGAAAUUCGUAGGAUAUUAGGAAGAAACACCAGUGGCGGAAGGCGGCUCACUGGCCCGGGUACUGACGCUGAGGCGCGAAAGCGUGGGGAGCAAACAGG
rnacentral:rRNA from 1 species